rnacentral:rRNA from 1 species
CAGUAGCCACGGUAAUACGUAGGUGGCAAGCGUUGUCCGGAAUUAUUGGGCGUAAAGGGCUCGCAGGCGGUUUCUUAAGUCUGAUGUGAAAGCCCCCGGCUCAACCGGGGAGGGUCAUUGGAAACUGGGAAACUUGAGUGCAGAAGAGGAGAGUGGAAUUCCACGUGUAGCGGUGAAAUGCGUAGAGAUGUGGAGGAACACCAGUGGCGAAGGCGACUCUCUGGUCUGUAACUGACGCUGAGGAGCGAAAGCGUGGGGAGCGAACAGGAUUAGAUACCCCAGUAGUCCCUGUCUCUUAUAC